ensembl:lncRNA
AGACUGGAUCCACGCUCUGUCUGCUUUCGCCACCUCUAACUUCUUGCGGGCGGCGGAGCUCGGGGCCGAGAUGGACGAGUCGUGGUUGGUCGCAAACGCCGCCAUUUACUUGUGGAACUACAGCAGCCACUUGUUAGCAGCCGGCGAGUACCGACGCCUGCUUCCCACCUUCCAGAGUCUUGUGGCGAUGCUCCAAAAAUCCAAGUUCACCGGGUAGGCUGGGUUUUAUUUACAGGUUAUAGGGCUGUCAAAGCUUUUACACAUUGUUUGUUUUCGUGUGAUUUAAUUUGCACGCCAAUAUAUAUUACUUAUCAGACUGAGGUGAUUUUGUCUGAGCCUUCAUACAUGCAUAAAUGAAGGCAUUGAUGGUAUUAAUGAUGGUAUUGACUGUAUGAAUAGCUUUACUGCAAACUAAAAGGAGGAGUAUUAUGCAUUUUUGUGCCGUUUUUAUGUUUUCCCCCGGUGUGAAGAGGCCUUUAAAACAGAAUUAUUUCUUGCAAGGUUUACUACCCUGAUGUACUGCAAUGUACUGCAAGCUAGACAAUUAUUUCUUGCAUGGUUUACUACCAUGAAUACCGUGUCAUGAAAACCUAAACACACGCUGUCGCAAUAGAAAAAGUACACCGAUUAAAGAACCAAAGAGGUAAUAGAACGAUGGCAACGAGUCAGGGAGAGAAAAAAAAAGAAGAAUAUCCUGAAAUUCAUCCAAAUCUCUUGUUUCACACGUUGUUCUAACAUCAGUCAGUGGGCGUCAAUGUUACUCAAUAAUAGAAAAGAGGUAGAAGUUGUGAACCACAGAUUAACUCAACCAUUCAGUUGAAUGCUGUGCAAAACAGUCAGUUUUCAGUUUAAACUCAAAGUAUCAUUAUUUGAACUGAUAACUAAUGCGUACGCGUUUGGCCUUCAAGCCCAAAUUGCGGUCCUGUUUCUUUCGGUGACGUCACUUUGGAGCAUUCUUUGUGUGGCUCAGGAACCGCACUCUGCUCGUGCUGCUCUGCGACGCCGUGGCCCGCGGGUUGAUUCAGCCUCAGUGCGGACCAGACGGCAUCGAGCGAGCCCCCCCCAGCAGAGAAGGCCAGGAGCAGACAGGGGAGGGGCGGGGAGAAGGCUGCCGGCGUCCACGGGGGUUUCUUGGACCCCGCUGCCCUUCAGGAUGUCCGCAAGGCAUCGGAGCUGUGUUACUACGGCCUUCGCCUGUCCGCCGGUAACACCCCGGAGGGAAGCGUCCCCAUCGCAGCCAGGAAACAGGUGGUGGCCACCUGGGUGCAGGUCAAGAGGCUCCUGCAGCAGGAGACUGGGUCAAAGAUGGACACCAAAGAUGAGGUACCCCUCUGUUCUGGCUGCUAGCAGUGGUAUUGCUAUUUUUGUUCCAUUGUUACAUGACGAUUCGUCGUGAUUUGUAACUCUACGAGAUCAUUUGAAUGGAUGGCAGAGUUAUAGCCAUAGACUGCACAUCUGUUUUAUCUGCCUUAAACCUGGAGAAGUAUAUUAGUGAAUGGGUCAAUAAAUGUCUGUUUUAACCGCCUCUGUAGAUAAUCCCCCAAAAAGUCCUAGAUAAUGAGGUUUUUGUUGCACUAGUUACAGUUUUCAUAAAUACUUAUUAUACAUACUUAUUCUUGCUAAAAUGAGUCUGUCUUUAGAGCCCCAAAGUUCUUCUUUAGAAAUGUGCAGUAUGUGUCAAACCGCCAGGUGCUAGUUUGCAUGUGUUGGAACACGUGAAUGAUUAACAUUAUUCACAUUAAUCAGCAUAACCAAGGACUGGAAUUCAGAUGGUUAUCUGUUUUGCACAAUAUUUGAGUUCCUUUUUUGGCUCAUUCUGGAUGCUGACUCUAUUCAUGUCAAUUUAAACCAGAACUGGCCACCUAUACACAUCAUUUGAAAGAAAUGGAAUAAGUUCAAACUAGUUGAAAAUCAACAGAUUUAUAUUAAGGGGGGAAAACAUGGACAAUAAGGGGGAACACAGGAGUCCUGGGAUAUGUUUACGACACAAGUUUACCCGGGCCUGCAGCUGCACUUUGCCGUGGUGGAAGGCUUCCACCCAGCUUUGCUGCUGAUGGUGGCCGGAAACAGAAACCUGUCCGUGCUGCAGCGUUUGUGUUGUGAGAAGGACUUUUCUGUUCUGUAUUCUCCUGCAGUUUUUUCUUGGAAGGGAUGGUAGUUGUCUGAGAUUUAACAAAAAACCUUUUUGUAAAAUUGUAGAGAAGAGUGAACACAAAUGGGUAACGCGUCUGUCAUAUUUUGUGUGUUUUUUUACAGGCCAACAGAAAUGUUUUUUAAAGCACUUUGUCCUUUAAUGAGUCACCAUAAUUCAGCUUCUGCAUGAUGCUUUGAGUAACAGCUACACAAGGCUUGUUUUCUCCAUUGCAAAUCAACAAGUGCAGUGCUAACACGUUUUUUUUUCUUGUUGUUUUUAUUGUGAAUCUCAUUCAAUCAUUCAUCUCCUAACUGUCCACUCAACGGAAAGUCAUUGAUUAUUAACAAGGUCAUCUCUUUGUUUUUGGGAAACAUGUAUCAAUGACCAAUGCGAUGAUCUCACUGCAGGUUUAUGUACGUUUUC